AUUCGACAAAAAGCCAAAUCCCUCCCCGCUCUCUCACUUACCUUCACCACCUUCCUCUCGGCUGAUCAAGAGAAGCUGCAGCCGGCGCAGCAGCCAUUCGGAGAAACGAAUCAAGAGUUGCUGAUAUUCACACUGAAGAACUUGAUGUCCAGGUUCUUCAUCAGCUUCAGAAGGGUGGUUUUAAUGGUGGCGUUAACGAUGUGUCUCUUGUUUCUGCCGCUGGUUCUACCGCCGCUGCCUCCGCCGCCCCUUAUCCUCCUCCUCAUCCCCGUCGCCAUCAUGGGGGUGCUCAUCUUCUUGGCACUCACGCCGCCGCAGCUCUCCGGCGUCGUCGCCCUCAUGAGCUGCACAUGAAGGAUAUGGAUUCAUAGUACAAUAGGUAUGGAUGUUGUUGUUUGUCUUGCACGGAGACGUUUGGACUGCGAAGAUUGCUGCUGAGGCCUCUGCUUCGUUCUCGGGGGAAAUUCUCUUUGUUGUUGUGUGUUGUCCAAACAUGGCUGUUCUGCUGUUCGAGUGAAUUAUGCACAGCUUUAAAUACGUUGGUAUGUUUUUAAUUAUUUUUUCUAUUUAAGAUAUUUUUUUUUUUAAGAAAAGUAUAUUUGGAGAGAAUUUUAGAG